UCCAUUGCUUAUAUAGUAGACAAUUUUGUGCAUGGAGUAUUUUAACUCAUACACGGAAGAUUAAAAUUGUUGGUGCAUAUAAGUUAUAAAUUUAUGUUCACGAUCAAAGAUGAAGUAGGAUGAACAUCUUGAUGAUCGUAGCACAAGAUUAAAUAUAAUUUGAUCUUAAUUAUGAGAAUGGUUAAAUUCAACUUCUUGUGCUAGUACAUUUUGUAUGUAUUGAAC
rnacentral:lncRNA from 1 species